UACGGAGGGGACUAGCGUUGUUCGGAAUUACUGGGCGUAAAGCGCACGUAGGCGGACCGAAAAGUUGGGGGUGAAAUCCCAGGGCUCAACCCUGGAACUGCCUCCAAAACUGCCGGUCUAGACGUUCGAGAGAGGUGAGUGGAAUUCCGAGUGUAGAGGUGAAAUUCGUAGAUAUUCGGAGGAACACCAGUGGCGAAGGCGGCUCACUGGCUCGAUACUGACGCUGAGGUGCGAAAGCGUGGGGAGCAAA
rnacentral:rRNA from 1 species